GAAUUUUGGACAAUGGGCGAAAGCCUGAUCCAGCAAUGCCGCGUGCAGGAUGAAGGCCUUCGGGUUGUAAACUGCUUUUGUACGGAGCGAAAAGCUUUGGGUUAAUACCCUGGAGGCAUGACGGUACCGUAAGGAUAAGCACCGGCCAACGACGUGCCAGGACCCGCGGUAAUACGUAGGGGGCCAGCGUUAAUCGGAAUUACUGGGCGUAAAGCGUGCGCAGGCGGUUUUGUAAGACAGAGGUGAGAUCCCCGGGCUCAACCUGGGAACUGCCUUUGUGACUGCAAGGCUAGAGUACGGCAGAGGGGGGUGGAAUUCCGCGUGUAGCAGUGAAAUGCGUAGAUAUGCGGAGGAACACCGAUGGCGAAGGCAACCACCUGGGCCUGUACUGACGCUCAUGCACGAAAGCGUGGGGAGCAAACAGG
rnacentral:rRNA from 1 species